rnacentral:rRNA from 1 species
GACGAACGCUGGCGGCGUGCUUAACACAUGCAAGUCUACGAGAAUCGGGUAGCAAUACCUGAGGAAAGUGGCGCACGGGUGCGUAACGCGUAGGUAAUCUGCCUCGAAGUCUGGAAUAACACCGCGAAAGCGGUGCUAAUACCAGAUAACGUCACGAGAAGACAUCUUUUUGUGAUCAAAGUUUCGACGCUUCGAGAUGAGCCUGCGUCCCAUUAGCUAGUUGGCGGAGUAACAGCCCACCAAGGCUACGAUGGGUAGCUGGUCUGAGAGGAUGAUC